rnacentral:rRNA from 1 species
UCGAGCGAAUGGAUUAAGAGCUUGCUCUUAUGAAGUUAGCGGCGGACGGGUGAGUAACACGUGGGUAACCUGCCCAUAAGACUGGGAUAACUCCGGGAAACCGGGGCUAAUACCGGAUAAUAUUUUGAACUGCAUGGUUCGAAAUUGAAAGGCGGCUUCGGCUGUCACUUAUGGAUGGACCCGCGUCGCAUUAGCUAGUUGGUGAGGUAACGGCUCACCAAGGCAACGAUGCGUAGCCGACCUGAGAG